AACUGGGUGUAAAGGGCACGCAGGCGGUGACUUAAGUGAGGUGUGAAAGCCCCGGGCUUAACCUGGGAAUUGCAUUUCAUACUGGGUCGCUAGAGUACUUUAGGGAGGGGUAGAAUUCCACGUGUAGCGGUGAAAUGCGUAGAGAUGUGGAGGAAUACCGAAGGCGAAGGCAGCCCCUUGGGAAUGUACUGACGCUCAUGUGCGAAAGCGUGGGGAGCAAACAGGAUUAGAUACCCUGGUAGUCCACGCUGUAAACGAUGUCGAUUUGGGGGUUGAACUUUAAGUUUGGCGCCCGUAGCUAACGUGAUAAAUCGACCGCCUGGGGAGUACGGCCGCAAGGUUAAAACUCAAAUGAAUUGACGGGGGCCCGCACAAGCGGUGGAGCAUGUGGUUUAAUUCGAUGCAACGCGAAGAACCUUACCUACUCUUGACAUCCAGAGAACAUUCCAGAGAUGGAUUGGUGCCUUCGGGAACUCUGAGACAGGUGCUGCAUGGCUGUCGUCAGCUCGUGUCGUGAGAAG
rnacentral:rRNA from 1 species